rnacentral:rRNA from 1 species
CCUACGGGAGGCAGCAGUGGGGAAUUUUGGACAAUGGGCGCAAGCCUGAUCCAGCAAUGCCGCGUGCAGGAUGAAGGCCUUCGGGUUGUAAACUGCUUUUGUACGGAACGAAACGGUGAGCUCUAAUACAGUUUGCUAAUGACGGUACCGUAAGAAUAAGCACCGGCUAACUACGUGCCAGCAGCCGCGGUAAUACGUAGGGUGCGAGCGUUAAUCGGGAUUACUGGGCGUAAAGCGUGCGCAGGCGGUGAUGUAAGGCAGAUGUGAAAUGCCCGGGCUCAACCUGGGACCUGCAUUUGUGACUGCAUCGCUAGAGUACGGUAGAGGGGGAUGGAAUUCCGCGUGUAGCAGUGAAAUGCGUAGAUAUGCGGAGGAACACCGAUGGCGAAGGCAAUCCCCUGGACCUGUACUGGCGCUCAUGCACGAAAGCGUGGGGAGCAAACAGGAUUAGAUACCCUGGUAGUCCACGCCCUAAACGAUGUCAACUGGUUGUUGGGUCUUCACUGACUCAGUAACGAAGCUAACGCGUGAAGUUGACCGCCUUGGGGGAGGUACGGCCGCGAGUUAGACGUUACGAAGGAAGUUAGACGGCGNGAGAGNGCGACGGACGACGACGAGGGAGGAGG